UACAGAGGUCCCAAGCGUUGUUCGGAUUCAUUGGGCGUAAAGGGUGCGUAGGCGGCUCGGUAAGUCAGGUGUGAAAACUCUAGGCUCAACCUAGAGACGCCACCUGAUACUGCCGUGGCUAGAGUCCGGUAGGGGAGCAUGGAAUUCCUGUGUAGCGGUGAAAUGCGCAGAUAUCAGGAGGAACACCGAUGGCGAAGGCAGGUCUCUGGGCAUUAACUGACGUGAGGAGCGAAAGCAUGGGGAGCGAACAGG
rnacentral:rRNA from 1 species